UACGUAGGUGGCGAGCGUUGUCCGGAUUUACUGGGCGUAAAGGGAGCGUAGGCGGACUUUUAAGUGAGAUGUGAAAUACUCGGGCUCAACUUGAGUGCUGCAUUUCAAACUGGAAGUCUAGAGUGCAGAAGAGGAGAAUGGAAUUCCUAGUGUAGCGGUGAAAUGCGUAGAGAUUAGGAAGAACACCAGUGGCGAAGGCGAUUCUCUGGACUGUGACUGACGCUGAGGCUCGAAAGCGUGGGGAGCAAACAGG
rnacentral:rRNA from 1 species